rnacentral:rRNA from 1 species
CAAGAGCGUAUGUAAAAGUUGUUGCAGUUAAAAAGCUCGUAGUUGAACCUUGGGUUUGGUUGGCCGGUCUGCUUUUUUGCGAGUACUGGAUUCAACCGAGCCUUUCCUUCUGGCUGACCAGUCGUUUCGGCGGCUGGCGAACCAGGAUUUUUACUUUGAGAAAAUUAGAGUGUUCAAAGCAGGCAUUAGCUUGAAUAUAUUAGCAUGGAAUAAUAGAAUAGGACGUUAUGGUUCUAUUUUGUUGGUUUCUAGGACCAUCGUAAUGAUUAAUAGGGACGGUCGGGGGCAUCAGUAUUCAGUUGUCAGAGGUGAAAUUCUUGGAUUUACUGAAGACUAACUACUGCGAAAGCAUUUGCCAAGGACGUUUUCAUUAA